CCUACGGGGGGCAGCAGUGAGGAAUAUUGGUCAAUGGACGAGAGUCUGAACCAGCCAAGUAGCGUGAAGGAUGACUGCCCUAUGGGUUGUAAACUUCUUUUAUAUGGGAAUAAAAUGUUCCACGUGUGGGAUUUUGUAUGUACCAUAUGAAUAAGGAUCGGCUAACUCCGUGCCAGCAGCCGCGGUAAUACGGAGGGUCCGAGCGUUAUCCGGAUUUAUUGGGUGUAAAGGGAGCGUAGGUGGAUUGUUAAGGCAGUUGUGAAAGUUUGCGGCUCAACCGUAAAAUUGCAGUUGAAACUGGCAGUCUUGAGUACAGUAGAGGUAGGCGGAAUUCGUGGUGUAGCGGUGAAAUGCUUAGAUAUCACGAAGAACUCCGAUUGCGAAGGCAGCUCGCUGGACUGCAACUGACGCUGAGGCUCGAAAGUGUGGGUAGCAAACAGGAUUAGAUACCCUUGUAGUC
rnacentral:rRNA from 1 species